AAACACAUUGCUUCUCACCUUUUUAUCUGCAUGCUCUCAGCCUCUCCUAUCCUCACAUCUCUUCCUCCUCUCUCUUCCCCUUAUCCCUUUCAUUCCUCCUGUGGCGCAGGUGGCUGGAGCCAUGGCUGGUGGAGGUGGGGUGCAGCGGCCCACAGCGACGGUGAGCGGUGGCCGGGGCGAGUGCGCGGGCCAUGACGACGACGAGCAGUUGCCAGUGCGCACAACGGCGAGUAGUGGACAGUGUUGCCGGCGCUGGUCGAGCAGAGCUUUUAUUAUCGGACUGUUCCACCCGAGCAAGCUUCUAGAUUGAAAGCUCCAUCAGUAUUGACUUUAAGAACUCCAGCUGCUGGUGCCUUCCAGCGAGCCUUGGCUACCUGGUGAUGUGAUUUCUCGUGAAUCUGCAGCACAUCAUCCACCAUCUGAGUAACAUGCCUUGCAGCAGCAUAUGGACUGUUGGUAAUCCUACUUUGCAGGGUAGUGUGAGGUCUGUUUUUCUUGUUUCAAUAACUUGAGCUCGUGUGUGAGCGCGUCUUAGGGAGCCUGAUGCAUGCGAGAGUUCAUGGAGCGGCUUAGUUUGUUCCUGUUUUUUAGAGUCCUAGAGCACGGCAUGGAACCUCGUCAUGGGAUGGUGUGACAAGUCCGGGUGACAUGGCGUGCGUGCGUUCGUGGAGUUAGCAGCUGCGGCCGGUAGUUUGUUUCCUCUAUUUAAGCAAUGAAAGUUUCAGAAAACGUCGCUUGGUUGUGGCACAAAGUGUUCUCUGUGUUCCAGGUGUUCGCGUUCAUUUGUGUGUGUUUCAGGGGUCUUCUUCUUCAUCUCUGGCGAGCAAUUGCCAGCUGUGAAGGCUUCAAUUGGCAUUAGAGCCAGUUACUAGCACUGGGACCGCGAUCAAGCAAUCAAGUGGGCGUUCAUGGCGCAUCCACACUCGUCCUCGCCACCACGAACGACUCGCUGGCAGACGCCACCACCGUCAGGGACACGGUGGUGCGUCACAGAGCUGCAGUGGAACUGGCGGAGACACACCCGAAGGCAGCAGCGGCCGCGGCAAGAAAGGUCUGGUGGUCCACCGCGUCACCAAGGAGAUCAGCGGCAGUGGCUCCUUCCCGAUGCUCACGAAGACGAACUACUAGACUGGGCGGUGCUCAUUCGCAUGAUGCUGCAGGCAAGGAGCCUAUGGGUCGCGGUGAGCAUGGGCACCGACGACUACGUGGAGGACCACAUGGCACCGGAGGUGAUCUCCAAGACGGUCCCGACGGAGAUGAUGGGGACGAUUGCCAACAAGGUGACCGCUAAGAUCGUGUGGGACGCGAUUAGGAGGAUGCACAUUGGUGUGGAGCGCGUCCACAAGGCCAAGGCAAACAUACUGUGCCGCACCUUCGAUGCCCUCAAGAUCUGCGAUGGGGACACGGUGGAUGACUUCGGCAUCCACAUCAAUGGGAUUGCAAAUCAGCUCGCAGUCCUCAGCGAUGGCUGCACUGAAGAAGAGAUCGUCCGCAAGUUUCUCCGGUCUCUACCCAUGAGGUACUAUCAAAUCUCCAUGUCAAUUGAGACCCUGCUUGACCUCAGCGAACUCUCCGUGGAGGAGUUGAUCAAGAGACUCAAGGCGGCGGAGGAAUGGCACAACCUCAGUUGAAGCAGCGGCGUGGCUAGCCAGCUCAACCUCAAUGAGGAAGAGCUGGUCGCGCGCGUCACGUCACGGUUUCAGCUCGGCGGCAAUGGCUCAUCCUCAGGGUCGGGCCAGCGAAGGGGCCGGGGUGAGGACGCGGCGAGGGCUGCGGCGGAGGGCGGCCACCGAAGGUCGGCAGCAGUGAUGAUGGUGGCGUGAACAGGCCCAUCGGCGAUGACCAGUGCAAGUAUUGUGGCAAGAAGAGCCACUGGGCCCCUGAGUGUCACAAGAAGCGCAAUGAGGCGGCCCAUGUAGCCCAAGCUAAAGAAGGGGAGGAGCCCAUGUUGAUGCUUGCCACUACAAAAGUCAACGCUGCCUCCUCCUCCCAACCGCUGCCGCCCACAUCACCAUUGAUGCUGGUGGAAUCCGCCCCGAUCCACCUCGAGGAGAACAAGCUCUUCAUCCAGCUAGGCGAUGGGCGCAAGGGGGAGUCCACCCGAUGGAUCCUCAAAACAGGAGCCACCAACCACAUGACGGGCAUGCGGUCGGCCUUCUCCGAGCUGGACACCGGCAUCCGUGGCACCGUGAAGUUCGGCGAUCGCUCCGUUGUCGUCAUCGAGGGGUGCGGCACCAUCCUCUUCAAGUGCAAGGAUGGGGAGGACCAGGCACUCGAGGGGGUGUACCACAUCCCACGCCUUACCGCCAACAUCAUCAGCUUGGGGAAGCUCGACAAGGAGCGGUACAAGAUCCAGAUUGAAGACAGCGUGCUUAGGAUUUGGGACCAGCAACAGCGAUUGCUAAAAAAGGUGACCUGCACGGCGAACCGGCUCUACAUCCUCAAGCUCAACAUCGGGAGGCCGGUGUGCCUGGCGGCACAGGAAGGUGACGCGGCUUGGUGCUAGCACGUGAGGUUUGGCCACCUAAACUCCCGCACACUCCAGAAGCUGGCCCGUGAAGGCAUGGUGCGCGGGCUGCCGCAUAUCGACCACAUCGACCAAGUCUGCAAUAGCUGCUUGGCCAGGGAGCAGUGGUGUCUCGCAUUCCCCUCCGAGGUGAAGUACCACGAAGAGAACAAGCUCGAGCUGGUCCAUGGCGAUCUCUGCAAGCUAGUGAUGCCGGCGACACUGAGUGGCAGCAAGCUGUUCCUCCUCGUCGUCGAUGAUCUGAGCCGCUACAUGUGAUCCAAGGACCAAGCUAUAGACGCCAUCGUGCGGUUCCAGGCGAGCGCUGAAGCAGAGGCCGGAAGAAAGAUGCUCAUGCUGCGUUCUGACCACGGCGACAAGUUCACGGCGCACGGGUUCGCAGAGUACUAUGCCAGGCAAGGAGUCUAGAUGCACCUCACCGCUCCAUACACGCCCUAACAUUACGGGGUGGUCAAGAGGUGGAAUCAAACAGUGAUGGGGAUGGCCAGAAGCAUGUUGAAGGCAAAGGCACUGCUGGGCUGGUUUUUGGGGGAGGCGGUCACCAUGACUGUGUUCAUCCUGAAUAGUGCGCGCACGCAGAGCGUCGACGGCAAGACCCCGUAUGAGGUAUGGCACGGCUCCAAGUCCCCAGUCCAUUUCCUCCGCACCUUCGGUUGCGUCGCACAUGUCAAGAACGGCGGCAAGCACCUCCCCAACCUCGAUGAUCGGAGCACGCCCAUGGUCUUCGUUGGCUACGAACUAGGGACAAAGGGGUACCGUUUCUACAACCCGGAGUCAUGGCGCAUCCAUAUCUCCUGUGAUGCUAUGUUCGAGGAGGAUCGAAGCUGGGACUGGGGCACAAAGGAGGGAGCCGGGCCGGCUAACGGCAACGAGCCCUUCCACGUCAAGUACAUGAUGGUUUCCGCGGGCUCUGGCUCACCGGGGGAGCGUGGAGCCGAGGAAGUGACGCCGAGGUCUAUAUCACCAAUUUCUCUGGUGCCAUCAGCAGCUACAUCACCAUGAACACCUACGGUGGGGAGCUCUACGACGCCCACGGGCAGCUAGGGGCCACACACGCUUGCCACGGCGAUGCCACUUGACACACCAGGGGAGGCGGUAGAGUUUGCCUCACCACCGAGUGGGGCGCUAGACCUCGAUGCGGAGCACAACGACAACGCGCCCCUACGAUUCCGCACCCUCGACAACGUGCUCGACCCUUCAUCACCACCAGGCUUGGUAGUGUGCACUCUGAAUGACAAGCUGAUGCUCGCGGUUGGGGAUGAGCCCACGACGUUUAAGGAGGCACGCGGUGAGGAGAACUGGAGGAAGGCAAUGCUCGAGGAGAUGGCCUCGAUCGAGCAAAACGGCACAUGGUUCCUCGUCGACCUCCCACAAGGCCAUCGUCCAAUUGGUUUGAAAUGAGCAGGGCAUCAUCGUCAAGCACAAGGCCUGGCUGGUUGCAAAAGGAUAUGUUCAGCAGGCCGGGGUCGACUACGAUGAGGUAUUUGCGCUGGUCGUCAGGAUGGAGUCUGUGAGGAUGUUGCUCGCCAUGGCGGCGCGACGAGGCUAGCUUGUGCAUCACAUGGAUGUCAAGUCAGCGUUUCUCAAUGGUGAUCUGUAGGAAGAGGUGUACAUGCGGCAGCCACUUGGAUUUGUAGCUGCUGGACAUGAAGGGAAGGUGCUGAGGUUGAAGAAAACCAUUGUACGGGCUCAAGUAGGCCCCGCGCGCGUGGAAUCAGAAGCUGGACAGCAGCCUGCGCGAGCUUGGCUUCACCACGUGCGCCAGUGAGCACGGGCUGUACACUCGAGACGCGGCGGCGUCGCGGGUGGUCGUCGGCAUCUACGUGGACGAUCACAUCAUCGCAGGUGCCUGCGCGGAGGAGGUCAAGGCGUUCAAAGGUGAGAUGUUGCGUCUGUUCCGCAUGAGUGAUCUGGGGCUGCUCUCGUACUACCUCGGGAUCGAGGUGAAGCAGAGCAGGGGGCGCAUCAUGCUGGGCCAAGCGGCGUACGCAUGCAAACUGCUGGAGAAGGCUGGCCUGGAGGGCUGCAACCCCUGCCAGACCCCAAUGGAGGUGCGCCUGAAGCUCACGAAGGACAGUGCAGCGGCGGAGGUGGAUGCCACCAUGUACCCGAGCUUGAUUGGAAGCCUGUGGUAUCUGAUGCACACCCGGCUAGACAUCACAUUCGCCGUCGGCUUCGUCAGCAGAUUCAUGGAGAAUCCCAUGCAAGAUCAUCUAGCGGCUGUGCAACACCUCCUCCAAUACAUCUCCGGCACUAUCAGCUACGGGAUCAUCUACACCGAGCAAGAGAACGAGGAGCCCCUCCUGGUGGGUUUCAGUGACAGUGAUUUGGGGGGGAGACAUCAACAACACCACCAGCAUCAUCUUCUUCCUCGACGGCAUGCCAAUGUCAUGGCAAUCCCAGAAGCAGAAUGUGGUGGCGCUCUCAUCCUGCGAAGCUGAAUACAUUGCUGGCGCGACGGCGGCGUGUCAAGCGGUGUGGCUCGCACGGCUGAUGGAUGACAUGAUGGGAGCAAACUCAUCGCCGCCGAGCUUGAAGAUGGACAAUAUGUCCGCCAUUGCACUCAGUAAGAAUACCAUUCUCCACGAUAGAAGUAAACAUAUUGAUACAAAAUUCCAUUACAUUCGUGAAUGUGUGGAGAGCGGGAAGAUCAAGCUGGACUACGCAAGUACUCAUGAUCAGCUUGCGAAUGUCCUGACAAAGUCGCUCGGAUGCGUGAAGUUCCAGGAGCUGCGCGAACGGAUCGGCGUUGUCGAACUGAAGUGAACAGACUAGGAUUAGGGGGAGAAUGUUGGUAAUCCUACUUUGUUCAGGGUAGUGUGAGGUCUGUUUUUCUUGUUUCAAUAACUUGAGCUCGUGUGUGAGC
rnacentral:lncRNA from 1 species